UACGAAGGGGGCUAGCGUUGCUCGGAAUCACUGGGCGUAAAGCGCACGUAGGCGGAUCUUUAAGUCAGGGGUGAAAUCCUGGAGCUCAACUCCAGAACUGCCUUUGAUACUGGGGAUCUCGAGUCCGGAAGAGGUGAGUGGAACUCCGAGUGUAGAGGUGAAAUUCGUAGAUAUUCGGAAGAACACCAGUGGCGAAGGCGGCUCACUGGUCCGGUACUGACGCUGAGGUGCGAAAGCGUGGGGAGCAAACAG
rnacentral:rRNA from 1 species